rnacentral:rRNA from 1 species
GCCAGAGACACAUCUCCCUGCAUCUCUUGCCUGGUGUUUCACUGAAGCUAAGCAGGGUUGAACCUGGCCAGUACCUGGUUGGGAGACCUCCUGGGUAAAACAGAGUUUGCUGCUGGUC